rnacentral:rRNA from 1 species
AUUGAACGCUGGCGGAAUGCUUUACACAUGCAAGUCGAACGGCAUCACGGGGGCAGCCCUGGUGGCGAGUGGCGAACGGGUGAGUAAUACAUCGGAACGUGCCCGGUCGUGGGGGAUAACGUAGCGAAAGUUACGCUAAUACCGCAUACGAUCUGAGGAUGAAAGCGGGGGACCUUCGGGCCUCGCGCGAUCGGAGCGGCCGAUGUCAGAUUAGGUAGUUGGUGGGGUAAAGGCCUACCAAGCCGACGAUCUGUAGCUGGUCUGAGAGGACGACCAGCCACACUGGGACUGAGACACGGCCCAGACUCCUACGGGAGGCAGCAGUGGGGAAUUUUGGACAAUGGGCGCAAGCCUGAUCCAGCCAUUCCGCGUGCAGGACGAAGGCCUUCGGGUUGUAAACUGCUUUUGUACGGAACGAAAAGGCUCUGGCUAAUACCUGGGGCUCAUGACGGUACCGUAAGAAUAAGCACCGGCUAACUACGUG